rnacentral:lncRNA from 1 species
AUCAAAACAGUGUCCAUACGAGUGGCUCCCCAACUCCAAGCUGAAGCCAAUGCGGCGGCCGGGUGGCCCGCUAUGAAGUGCAUUGAAUUGGAAACUUUGUUAGCAAUCAAUAAAAAAAGAAAAACGAAACAUAGCUUGGGAAAAUGAUGUAGUCGUAUAAUUUUAGACACGAACAGGAAAAUUUUGACCGAGUUUCGGCACCAGCACACGCCCACUGCCCCCGCACGAACACAGCGGACAGGUGAACACUCAUCAGAAGAGGGGAAGGAGGAGGAAGGACCAGACCAGGACAAGGGUGGUCGUCCCUGGCAACGUUCGCUAUGAAAACUAAACGAAAACAAAAGAAACUCCAAAGACAACGGACAACACAUUCAGAAAAUUAAAGGAGACAGAAGGCGGAUACAACAACGGACAGAGACAUCGCCAAGUUGCGACAGUCGAGAGAUUGCAAUCACGGAGACCGUUCGGCAGCAUCAACUGCAGCCAGGACAGAACCAGAAGCAGGAGCAGCUGGCUAAAGCUGUGGGGCAAAGCAGUUGGAGCCACGCCACGCACUUUGCCGCACGAGACUCGACGGCACACUGCCACACACUGGGGAAUUGCAUAGACAUCGACUCGGUAGCCGUGGUGCAGCACAAGCUGGUGCACAAGAUUGUGUGAGUAGAUUCCAACAGAGCCCCUGCUCCGCCCCCGUUUGUUGCAUAUCCCAUAAUGAAUAAAUAAGUGAGUGC